rnacentral:rRNA from 1 species
ACUCCUACGGGAGGCAGCAGUGGGGAAUAUUGCACAAUGGGCGCAAGCCUGAUGCAGCCAUGCCGCGUGUGUGAAGAAGGCCUUCGGGUUGUAAAGCACUUUCAGUUGUGAGGAAGGUGGUGUCGUUAAUAGCGGCAUCAUUUGACGUUAGCAACAGAAGAAGCACCGGCUAACUCCGUGCCAGCAGCCGCGGUAAUACGGAGGGUGCGAGCGUUAAUCGGAAUUACUGGGCGUAAAGCGCAUGCAGGUGGUUUGUUAAGUCAGAUGUGAAAGCCCGGGGCUCAACCUCGGAACUGCAUUUGAAACUGGCAGACUAGAGUACUGUAGAGGGGGGUAGAAUUUCAGGUGUAGCGGUGAAAUGCGUAGAGAUCUGAAGGAUACCGGUGGCGAAGGCGGCCCCCUGGACAGAUACCGACACUACACGAAUAGC